GAUGAACGCUGGCGGCGUGCCUAAUACAUGCAAGUCGAGCGAACAGACGAGGAGCUUGCUCCUCUGACGUUAGCGGCGGACGGGUGAGUAACACGUGGAUAACCUACCUAUAAGACUGGGAUAACUUCGGGAAACCGGAGCUAAUACCGGAUAAUAUAUUGAACCGCAUGGUUCAAUAGUGAAAGACGGUUUUGCUGUCACUUAUAGAUGGAUCCGCGCCGCAUUAGCUAGUUGGUAAGGUAACGGCUUACCAAGGCAACGAUGCGUAGCCGACCUGAGAGGGUGAUCGGCCACACGGGAACGGAGACACGGUCCAGACUCCUAAGGGAGGCAGCAGUAGGGAAUCUUCCGCAAUGGGCGAAAGCUUGACGGAGCAACGCCGCGUGAGUGAUGAAGGUCUUCGGAUCGUAAAACUCUGUUAUGAGGGAAGAACAAAUGUGUAAGUAACUAUGCACGUCUUGACGGUACCUAAUCAGAAAGCCACGGCUAACUACGUG
rnacentral:rRNA from 1 species